rnacentral:tRNA from 1 species
UCUUCGAUGGUCUAAUGGUAAAGACAAUACGUUCUCAUCGUGUGGAUUCGGGUUCAAUUACUUGAAUAAAAUGCAUGUUUCCCGAUCGGAGAU